rfam:Eucalyptus grandis cultivar BRASTZ1 unplaced genomic scaffold scaffold_11, whole genome shotgun sequence.
AUGCGGCGAAGAUGUUGGCAUGGCUCAAUCUGAUCAUGUGGCUAGAGAGGGGGGCCGAGGCGCUAGCCGCCAUGAUUUGAUUGAGCCGCGUCAAUAUCUCCUCUUACCGA